UUGUUCAGGUCUGUAAUACAAAGGAUGGUACUUUGGCUUCCUCAGAAGCCUUUCUUUAUUCAUCUUGUCUGUGUGUUACCACAUAGCCAUGUGCUGCAUGGCAAAUUAACACUUAGAGCCACAGAAAUAGAGCAGUGAAGGAUGCUGUAUGGUACAGGAGGAAUAAAACAAGACAGUGAGCUAUGAGUACAGGGAUGUUAUAGGUCAUAGAAAGUGAGGUGAUGUUGGCUUGUUUUGAAACCUGUUUAAAUGAGAAGGAACAGUUCUGUGCAGGUUCCUGUUGAGUCCUAGGUAUCUCACAGAUAAGGACCAGCACCUGAUGCUCAGGUUACUCAAGGGGAUGCAGAUGCAGAGGGCUGCUGAUUGCAUUUGCAAGUAAUUGUCAGGAUUUGUGAAAGCUGCUACAGAGUGGAAGCAUCGAUCUGGCAUACAGAAAGUGUGUGGUCUAGGAAUAAAACAUACUUGGCUCAUGAUGGAAGCAGUUAGAAGGAAAUGUUUGUGUUAAUACAGUCCUCAUUUCCAAAGAGAGACUUUCUUUGUGGGAACUUUAAGGCCUUGAGCAGAAGCAGAGGGGUGCUGUUCUUCAAGGCCUUGGUGAUUAGAGGUUUUAUUUCCAUCCAGCAACUGUUAUUUAUUCACACAAAAGUCCUGCAGAGAGACUGAGAGACUUCAACAGACUGUGAUAGCCUGGGAGAUGGGGCAGGGGUGGGGUUGUAUCUUACAUGGAGAGGCCUCUCCCUGAAGUUACAUGGAGCAUUGGGGAACUUCAGGCUUUGUACCAUGGCUGUGCUUUUGAUCAUGUGUAUAAAUAUGUCUUCUGCAGA